rnacentral:rRNA from 1 species
AGUGAACGCUGGCGGUAGGCCUAACACAUGCCAGUCGAACGGCAGCACAGUAAGAGCUUGCUCUUACGGGUGGCGAGUGGCGGACGGGUGAGGAAUACAUCGGAAUCUACUUUUUCGUGGGGGAUAACGUAGGGAAACUUACGCUAAUACCGCAUACGACCUACGGGUGAAAGCAGGGGAUCUUCGGACCUUGCGCGAUUGAAUGAGCCGAUGUCGGAUUAGCUAGUUGGCGGGGUAAAGGCCCACCAAGGCGACGAUCCGUAGCUGGUCUGAGAGGAUGAUCAGCCACACUGGAACUGAGACACGGUCCAGACUCCUACGGGAGGCAGCAGUGGGGAAUAUUGGACAAUGGGCGCAAGCCUGAUCCAGCCAUACCGCGUGGGUGAAGAAGGCCUUCGGGUUGUAAAGCCCUUUUGUUGGGAAAGAAAAGCAGAAGGUUAAUACCCCGCUGUUCUGACGGUACCCAAAGAAUAAGCACCGGCUAACUUCGUG